GCCAACUGCCAUACUAUAUUUAAGACAUUGGUUUCUCAUAUGAUAACUGAAGUUAAGCAGUACUGUGCAUUAUUAGUACUUGGAUGCAUGACUGAUUAGGAAUACCACGUGCUAUUGGCA
rnacentral:rRNA from 1 species